rnacentral:sRNA from 4 species
UUCUUGAAGACACCCCACAUCACUGACUUUCCACAGCCCGGUCGUCGACCGGGCUGUU